rnacentral:rRNA from 1 species
GAGCGGCGGUGGGCCAAACCCUCUUUUGCGGCUAUCGCUGCUGACGUAGCCCACGAACGCCGCCGCGAUCAAGAAGCGGCAGCUGUUCGUCCCCUACCUUCGAUGCCAAGGGUAACUCUCCUCAAGCUACUUUCGGAACUUGUCGGUCUAGGCAAAGGGGAGGAACAGGACGAUCUCUUGCCCCGGUCUUUAAGCCUGUGACCACUAAGUUUACAACCCGGACCCUAGCGAGUCUUCCACCCUCUGCUACGGUGUCCACCUCGCCCACUUCCAAACGCGGCAGCCGCACUACGUAGAGGCUGCUCCAGCCGGGUCAACUGGCUGUUUCGUUUAGGUCUCCGGGGACUGACCAGAUUUUCCGAAGCAGAUCUGUCACGCGGUGGUUUGUCUCGUUAGUACAGGGAGGGCCAACUAGCGAGACCUCGUCAGUUAGGUGUUCAUACAUGUCGUUUGACUGUUCUCACAUUAUGCCGGACUGUUUCCAACACUUGGUACCCUCUCUUCCACGUGACCGGAAGAGUAAUCGUGUAACUGCAAAUGUGGUUCCUAAACAAUUUCGUCGUCUCUCUUUUGUAACACUUGGACCCCCUUCAGAUAUACUAUUAACCAUCGAAAAAACCAACGCAACUCUUCCACGGUAAGUACUUUUCCUGAGAAUCAUUAUAAACACCUUUCUAAUCAGCACUUGUUCGACAUCUACUACAUUCCUUCUGCGACCUCCACAAACGACUGUAGGCAAGAUGACUGGGACCGAAGUGGAUACACCAAAACUGACUGUUCAGGUAGUUCCAAUUUUCAGAGUACACCCGAUUACCCUCGUCGUCUUACGUUAUGUUCAAUAAACCACUACACCAGUGUAAGCUGUGAUGUAUGUCCUAUUUGGAAAUACUGUAAC